AACGCACAUUGCGCCCCGUGGUAUUCCGCGGGGCAUACCUGUUCGAGCGUCAUUACAACCUCUCCAGCUCUGCUGGGUCUUGGGGCUUGCCUUCCCGGCAUCCCUUAAAACUAGAUGCGGCGCCGCGUGGCUCUAAGCGUAGUACUUUUCUCGCUUCUGGGUCCGCUGUGGUGUUUGCUACAUAACCCCAACUUUCUAUGGUUGACCUCGAAUCAGGUAGGGAUACCCGCUGAACUUAA
rnacentral:misc_RNA from 1 species